rnacentral:tRNA from 1 species
GGAGGGGUGGCAGAGUGGUUGAAUGCGGCGGUCUCGAAAACCGUUUCACGGUGUUAAUCCGUGACGUGGGUUCGAAUCCCACCUCCUCCGCCA